CACCUGGAAACACCUGAGGGGAAAGGACUGAACUGUGGGAAGUGAUGGUCCCAGGCUAGAGGGAUUCCUAACCUGCAUGGAAAAACCCAAGCUGCAGAGCCAAGGCAACUUGUGCCGUAAGAAUCUGCCAGCCUGUUUAUCACUCAGGAGGUUGCAUGACACUGGGUUUGGGUCAUCAGCCGCUUUUGAAAAGGUUGCAAGGUCCAUAGAGUUCAGAUUGUCAUAUGUGAGUGGGGAGAAGAAGUAUUGGGCCUAAUGCACAGGACUGCGGAUCAGGAGAACUGGGUCCACAAAGGCAGCAAGGCAGUGAGGAUGUUCCCGAAGCAGAGCUGAUGCCCAGCUGCGCCGGGGAUUCAUGAACUCCACAUCGCAGAAUCACCAGCACAGCCGGUCUGCACCUGCUCUUUGAACUCGCAAUGGCCUCAGUGGAGGGUAGACUAUCAAUGGAUCUUUGCAGCUCGGCCAUGAGGUCACUAGAAUUAUCUCCAUGAUAUAGAGGGGGAACGGGCGGCAGAGAGGUUACGUGACUUGCUAAAGGUUAUAGCAGAGGAGUCUGUGUCGGAGCCGGGAUUAGGACUCAGGAGUUCUGACAUCCGGGUGUGUGCUCCGACCGCUAGACCAAAAAAUCAGUGGAAGUUACAUCCUGCAAAGUGAAACACCAGGUCCCAGGUCUGUCUCCUCCCACCAUUUCCAAACUAUGGGAAUCAUAAACUUCCACUUGCACAGCCAAUGGGGACCUUGGGGCUGGCUUGCAGUCACACUACAGCCCACCCCUGUCCACCGCUCUGGCAGGGUAACAUAGGAGUGUAGGAUUUAUUUUAAUGUCUCAUCCCUGGGGCUAGCCCGGAGCUCACAACCCAGCUUGCAGGGAAAGGCUGCUACUUGCUGAGCACUGAUACACAAGCCCAGCAGCUGAAUAAUGCGGAGUGUGGGGAGAGAUGGUGGAGAUGUGGUGUCUAGGGAGAAGGCAGCGAGCCUGGGGAGACGAUGAAAGCUCGAGCUCCUUCUUGCACAGAGAGGGAAGGUCAACCAUCUGGCCUUCUCCUGAUUGCCAGCUCUAAGAGGAUUUCUUCAGGCUCAGAUUUGAAUAGGACCAUCUGUGCUAUAAUUAAAGGGACUAAACACUGUUCCUCAGCUUUAUAGCCUCUCCAAAUAUAUCUAUAAACACACUCACCCCUUUAAAUUGCUCUCAGGUGUUCAGGAGGGUCCUGGCGCUGCUCAGAAGGAAGGGUGCUGUGCAGCAUUUCAGAGGCAUCUCUCCCUUGUCUACGUGC